AUUGAACGCUGGCGGCAGGCUUAACACAUGCAAGUCGAGCGGGGAUUGGGUGCUUGCACCUAAUCUUAGCGGCGGACGGGUGAGUAAUGCUUAGGAAUCUGCCAUUUAGUGGGGGACAACAUUCCGAAAGGGAUGCUAAUACCGCAUACGUCCUACGGGAGAAAGCAGGGGAUCUUCGGACCUUGCGCUAAAUGAUGAGCCUAAGUCGGAUUAGCUAGUUGGUGGGGUAAAGGCCUACCAAGGCGACGAUCUGUAGCGGGUCUGAGAGGAUGAUCCACCACACUGGGACUGAGACACGGCCCAGACUCCUACGGGAGGCAGCAGUGGGGAAUAUUGGACAAUGGGCGGAAGCCUGAUCCAGCCAUGCCGCGUGUGUGAAGAAGGCCUUUUGGUUGUAAAGCACUUUAAGCGAGGAGGAGGCUACCUGGAUUAAUACUCUAGGAUAGUGGACGUUACUCGCAGAAUAAGCACCGGCUAACUCUGUGCCAGCAGCCGCGGUAAUACAGAGGGUGCGAGCGUUAAUCGGAUUUACUGGGCGUAAAGCGUGCGUAGGCGGCUGAUUAAGUCGGAUGUGAAAUCCCUGAGCUUAACUUAGGAAUUGCAUUCGAUACUGGUCAGCUAGAGUAUGGGAGAGGAUGGUAGAAUUCCAGGUGUAGCGGUGAAAUGCGUAGAGAUCUGGAGGAAUACCGAUGGCGAAGGCAGCCAUCUGGCCUAAUACUGACGCUGAGGUACGAAAGCAUGGGGAGCAAACAGGAUUAGAUACCCUGGUAGUCCAUGCCGUAAACGAUGUCUACUAGCCGUUGGGGCCUUUGAGGCUUUAGUGGCGCAGCUAACGCGAUAAGUAGACCGCCUGGGGAGUACGGUCGCAAGACUAAAACUCAAAUGAAUUGACGGGGGCCCGCACAAGCGGUGGAGCAUGUGGUUUAAUUCGAUGCAACGCGAAGAACCUUACCUGGCCUUGACAUAGUAGAAACUUUCCAGAGAUGGAUUGGUG
rnacentral:rRNA from 1 species